AACUUCGGGAGAAGGGGUGCUGAUCAUACGAUCAGCCGCAGUGAAUAGGCCCAAGCGACUGUUUAUCAAAAACACAGGUCUCUGCAAAAUCGUAAGAUGAAGUAUAGGGGCUGACGCCUGCCCGGUGCUGGAAGGUUAAGAGGAGUGCUUAGCGCAAGCGAAGGUACGAAUUGAAGCCCCAGUAAACGGCGGCCGUAACUAUAACGGUCCUAAGGUAGCGAAAUUCCUUGUCGGGUAAGUUCCGACCCGCACGAAAGGCGUAACGAUUUGGGCACUGUCUCAACGAGAGACUCGGUGAAAUUUUAGUACCUGUGAAGAUGCAGGUUACCCGCGACAGGACGGAAAGACCCCAUGGAGCUUUACUGUAGUUUGAUAUUGAGUGUCUGUACCGCAUGUACAGGAUAGGUAGGAGCCGUAGAAAUCGGAACGCUAGUUUCGAUGGAGGCGCUGGUGGGAUACUACCCCUGCGUUAUGGCCACUCUAACCCGCACCACUGAUCGUG
rnacentral:rRNA from 1 species